UACGUAGGCAGCAAGCGUUGUUCGGAGUUACUGGGCGUAAAGGGUGUGUAGGCGGCCACACAGGUCUGCUGUGAAAACUCGAGGCUCAACCUCGAGCUGUCGGUGGAAACCGUGUGGCUAGAGUCCGGAAGAGGAGAGUGGAAUUCCCGGUGUAGCGGUGAAAUGCGCAGAUAUCGGGAAGAACACCCGUGGCGAAGGCGGCUCUCUGGGACGGUACUGACGCUGAGACGCGAAAGCGUGGGGAGCGAACAGG
rnacentral:rRNA from 1 species